rnacentral:rRNA from 1 species
GGGCCCGCACAAGCAGUGGAGUAUGUGGUUUAAUUCGAAGCAACGCGAAGAACCUUACCAGGUCUUGACAUCGAGUGACGUACUAAGAGAUUAGUACUCCCUUUUUGGGCACGAAGACAGGUGGUGCAUGGUUGUCGUCAGCUCGUGUCGUGAGAUGUUGGGUUAAGUCCCGCAACGAGCGCAACCCUUGCCAUUAGUUACUACGCAAGAGGACUUUAAUGGGACUGCCGUUGACAAAACGGAGGAAGGUGGGGAUGACGUCAAAUCAUCAUGCCCCUUAUGACCUGGGCUACACACGUACUACAAUGGCAAUUAACAGAGGGGAGCAAAGCAGUGAUGCAGAGCAAAUCCCGAAAAAUUGUCUCAGUUCGGAUUGUAGGCUGCAACUCGCCUACAUGAAGUCGGAAUUGCUAGUAAUCGCAGAUCAGCAUGCUGCGGUGAAUACGUUCCCGGGCCUU